CUGCCGUAUAAGCUGGUCCCCAUGUUUUUGUAGGGAGAGGUGAGGUUUUGGUGAGAUCAAUAGAGAGAGGUGGCAAAACAUCACCAGAUAUUCAGGAAUACAGAUGCUUGGAGCCUGAAACAGGAGUAGUAGAAACUCAGGUUAUAAUCACUGAAAUACAUUGAAACAUUGAUGAACUCUAUAGAGCUUUGCUAUAUGUACAGAAAACAGCUUCAGCUGAAACUGUUUUCUACCCAAGAAGCAAAGAGCAGCUGGGAACUGCAGAGUGCUCUCACCUCCCAUUUGAAAGAUAGCUCUUUCUGAUGAAGAUCAAAAAGUUUUGAGGGAGAUAAAGAAUCCGGAGGAAAUGCCAGUGAAGAGGCAAAAUGGAGGAAGGGGGACAAUGAAGAUUCCAGUUCUUCUAUUACUGUACUUCAUGAUUUACAUGAAAACAGGCUGUGAGGAGAGACUGAAGGGAAGUGUGUGUGGGAAAAGAAGAGAAAAAGCUGACAUAAAGGGAGUGAGGAACGGAGAAGCAUUGAAGAGGAAAUCAUAAAAGAUGAGAACUGGGGUAAGCAGAAGAUUGAAUCUGAUGCAAAGACUACAGUACUGGGACAGCUGCUAAACAGUCCACAAGAAAAUAAUAAUUAGGCAAUAUAGAGACUAGAAUUUGAGUUAGACUGGAUGAAAUGGAAAGCCAGGAGUUACGCACUAAGGGCAGUGCUGCUGCGUUUGCUUCUGAAGAUUCCCUAUUUGAACUCUGUAACAGCCAUAUCCUGAGAUAUUUAAUUCUGGCCUUUGGCCUCGAAAUUGAUUUGCCACAAUGUUUGCACCACCUGAUUGGGGAUGGAGAGAUUAUCUUAUAAACAAGAUGCAUCAUCACAGUUGCAUGGUUGAAUUUCUCUCCAGCUAUAACUCUCAGCUCUUUGCAUAUUUUUGUGUCAGUUGUUGACCUGAGAACAAAGAGCUUUCAGUAUAUAUUUUCUGCCUUUUCACUAUCUUUUGUAAAAUUAUCAUUGCAGCUAUUUACUCCAGCUGUGGUGAAACACACUCACAGGAGAUCUUUCCUGUCUAUCUUACUUUAUGCACCUUAUUCCCAUAACAACAAAUGGUCCCUCUUGCAUUGCUCACUCCACAAAUCCAGAUACUCUCGAGAACAGUGCUAUAUAAAUACAUGGAUGGGUAAAUCAGCAAGAUAUUUAUUUUCUCCAUACCCUGAUAGGAAGGAAUAUGGGGAAUGUGAAUUCCUCAGUAGUCUGUCUUUGUUUUUGUAAUAAAGUUUCUUUUCUACCAUGCCAGCAAGAGAAGACAAGAGGUGCCUAGUGCCAGUGAACUCUUGUACUUGCUUAGAAUGCUAGAGUGCUAUUGUUUUUAAUAUUUAAAGCUGCAAUGUUGCCAUGUAACUGGGGAAAUAGCUUUUUGUGUUUAAAUAUUUCAUGGCUUGUUGGAGUCCAAGUACAAGAAGAAUUUCUUUAGUAUGUUAGAGGCCCACCCUGCCUGAAAAGUUUUUUGUUAACCCUUGAAUGUGUUAAAAUUAGUCUGUGUCGCAGGAAUAUAUUAAGCAUGAUGUGACUCAUUCAAAGACCAUGAAGGACUGGAAAGUAACUUUUUGUUUUCAUUUUCCUAUAGACUUAUGUUAAUCUUUUUAAUAUGUCUUUCUAUGUUGGAGAAAAUCUUUUAUUCUAUAUAGGAACUGUAAUUUAGCAUUUUAUAACAAUGACAUUUAAAGUAUAUGUUUAUUUGUAAACCCUUCCAUCAUUGCAGACUUCCAGAACCCAUCAGUAUCAGAAAUAAAAUCUUCAGUAUGGA